GUACCCCAAACCGACACAGGUGGUCAGGUAGAGAAUACCAAGGCGCUUGAGAGAACUCGGGUGAAGGAACUAGGCAAAAUGGUGCCGUAACUUCGGGAGAAGGCACGCUGAUGGUAGGUGAAGCGACCUGCUCGUGGAGCUGAAAUCAGUCGAAGAUACCAGCUGGCUGCAACUGUUUAUUAAAAACACAGCACUGUGCAAACACGAAAGUGGACGUAUACGGUGUGACGCCUGCCCGGU
rnacentral:rRNA from 1 species